GUCUGUUUUAUUUAUGUUUUUUGUAUCCUAUCUUUAUAGUAGGAGACUUGGGAGUGCUCUCCUGUAGGAUCCAAGACUUCUCAUCUUUCCGAUGCGAACUGAAUUAUGCUAGCAUGUCAACCAGGACAUUUCAGAGAAGCAUCGAACAGAAACGUGUUAGUAAACCUCUUACCAGAACACCCUCACUAUCGAUUUUUUUUUGUCACUAAAACACAAACCAGCAUGGGACAUUAAACAGGACCUUUGGUAUUUGGUGUUGGGAAAAUGCCCCCUUGGAUCUAGAGCUCUUUAGGAGUAAUGGCUUCCCGAAAAGAACUAUAGAGAAAAAGAAGGCAGAAUAACCCAGGUGCCUGAGCAUCUUUGAGGAGGUAAGGAAAACUCUUUACUCUUUGCUGUUUGUGAGCUCUGAAUCACCAAUUGUUUGCUAGUCAGGCUUCCCCAUUUGCCAGGAAGGAUCAAUAAUGUAAUUGGAAUGACCCUGCACUCAACUGUCCCUGCCUUCUGAUGCCCGCCUCCCCUCUCUGAUCAGAAGGCCUCCUCACUGGGGACACUGAAAGCUGAAUAGUUCAGGGACAGAGCGAGGCAUUACUGCAUUCCUGUCCAGUGAAAGGCAGACUCUCUGGAGAGCCUUUCCUCUGUUUUGUUUUGUGUGUUUUCAAGGAGUCUGGAGAGGGUGUUUAUGUCGUGGUGCACGUUCCCCAUUUGGCAUCUCGAUGGCGAAGCAGAGAGCUUUCUUGUUGUCCAUGUCCUCUGUGAUUUGAACUUGUGAUGAUUCUUCAGCUAGCUCUGUCCUUCAUCUAGAAAAUUAGUGUUGCAUUAUGAAGCCCAAAAGAGUUUUCCUAGCCACCACAUAGCAGUACGUAUAAUAACUUAAAUGUUCUACAGAAAAGGCAUUCCCCCAGCGUGGGUGAGUGGAAGAAUAGGCUCAUCAAGUUGUUCAGGCUUUGCAGAUUAGAGUUCCAGUUUCGUGAAAUCUCCCAUGGUUCAUACCUGGAAUCAGCUCCAAAACAUUUUCGAAAUUGGAACACUGAGCAUUCUCUAUGGGCUUGCAGUCAUUUCAAAAUAAUAUCCCUUAAUUAUGUGUCAUGGAUUGUUUGAUGAGUAUCUGCUGGGUUUGGCAUAUGUCAUUAGCCAUGAACAAUUGUACCUGGCUGUUUUUAAUUAUACCAGCUUUAUGCUUACAGUAGCCAUGGGAGGAAAACAAAAGAUUUUGCUGAGCGGGAGCAUUUUGCUUUUUAAAAAAUAUUUAUUUUGUUUUUGAUGCUCCUGCAGCCAAUCCACUCUUGCUAGGCAGUCCACUCUUCAGUUCAGUAUGGCCUUGAACUCAUGUCCCCCUGCCUUAGACUUUAGGGUGCUUGGGUCACACAUAUCUCCCUUUAAAGUUUUAUCUAUCUAUCUAUCUAUCUAUCUAUCUAUCUAUCUAUCUAUCUAUCUAUCUAUCUAUCUAUCUAUCUAUCUAUCUAUCAUACCUAUCUAUCUAUCUAUCUAUCUAUCUAUCUAUCUAUCUAUCCAACAUCUAUCUAUAUCUUAUCUAUCCCUAUCUACCUAUCUAUUUAUCUACCUAUUAUCUAUCAUCUAUCUACCUAUGCCCCCUCCUCCCCCUGAAAGAUUUUUUUCUUCUACAGCAGGCUAUGCUGCUCAGUCUAAUCCCCUACUUCUGCAUUUCCCCAUCCCUGGCUGCUGUUACUUUCUCCAUGAAAAAUUGUGAAAGGUCUAAGCCAAUUAAGAUCAUUUGAUUUCCUCGUCAGCAAUUGGUUCAAAGAUGUCCAUGUGACACAGUUCUACCCAAUGAGAUGUGAAAGAAGCUUGUCUGGCAUGUUUCUGGGAAUGGCUUCUUGGCUGAUGGAACUAGGUCCUUAGAAAAAUGAUCUCAGCCAGGCAGGCUGUGGUGGCACACUCCUCUAAUCUCACUGGGAGUGAGGGAGGUGGGAGAGGGGCAAGGGGCGAGGGGCAAGGGGCGAGGUGCAAGGGGCGAGGGGAGGAGAGGAUAGAGGGGAGAGGGGACAGGGGAGAGGGAGAGGGAGAGGGAGAGGGAGAGACUCUGCAUUUCCCACCCAAUAUCAAUCAGUACUGUCGAGGUCUAUGACAGUACUAACUGAGAGACUUAGCUUCUGAGAGGAACUAGUUGGUGACUACAGAGGGUACAGCUGAAAGAAGGACUCAACCGGGGUCUUUGGUCCUCCUUAG
rnacentral:lncRNA from 1 species